ensembl:lncRNA
GUGCCGCAGUGAUGAGAAGCCCCCGCUUACCCAGACUGGAGAGAGCCCACACAGAGCAACAAAGACCCAGUGCGACCAAAAAAGCCAGAGUUAUCCAGGACCAUCUCAUCACGACAUCACUAACUCCAUCACGUCUGCAAAGACCUGUUUCCGACCCAGGCUCUCUUCCCCAGAAGCAAGCUUGAUCAUCCUUUAAGUCCUGAGAAUCUACAAGCAAAUUCCUGCAACUCCCGGACCUGCCCUGUUUUGAGCACUGUCCUAAAGUUGAGGACAUCUGGACGGUGCUCGUGUCAACAACCGCGGGGCACCCUCCCGUCCCCAGGCGGUUCUGCCC